rnacentral:rRNA from 1 species
CAGCAGUGGGGAAUAUUGCACAAUGGGGGAAACCCUGAUGCAGCGACGCCGCGUGAAGGAAGAAGUAUCUCGGUAUGUAAACUUCUAUCAGCAGGGAAGAAAAUGACGGUACCUGACUAAGAAGCCCCGGCUAACUACGUGCCAGCAGCCGCGGUAAUACGUAGGGGGCAAGCGUUAUCCGGAUUUACUGGGUGUAAAGGGAGCGUAGACGGAAGAGCAAGUCUGAUGUGAAAGGCUGGGGCUUAACCCCAGGACUGCAUUGGAAACUGUUUUUCUAGAGUGCCGGAGAGGUAAGCGGAAUUCCUAGUGUAGCGGUGAAAUGCGUAGAUAUUAGGAGGAACACCAGUGGCGAAGGCGGCUUACUGGACGGUAACUGACGUUGAGGCUCGAAAGCGUGGGGAGCAAACAGGAUUAGA